rnacentral:rRNA from 1 species
GUUGAACGCUGGCGGCAUGCCUAACACAUGCAAGUCGAGCGGACGAAGGGAGCUUUCUCCUGUUUUCAGCGACGGACGGGUGGGUAAUGCCUAGGAAUCUGCCUGGUAUUGGGGGAUAACGUCCGGUCACGGGCGCUAAUACCGCAUACGUUCUGAGUGAGAAAGUGGUGGAUCUUCGGACCUCACUCUAUCAGAUGAGCCUAGGUCGGAUUCGCUAGUUGGUGGGGUAACGGCCUACCAAGGCGACGAUCCGUAACUGGUCUGAGAGGAUGAUCAGUCACACUGGAACUGAGACACGGUCCAGACUCCUACGGGAGGCAGCAGUGGGGAAUAUUGGGCAAUGGGCGAAAGCCUGAUCCAGCAACGCCGCGUGUGUGAAGAAGGUCUUCGGAUUGUAAAGCACUGUAAGUUGGGAGGAAGGGCAGUAAGUUAAUACGUUGAUGUUUUGACGUUACCAACAGAAUAAGCACCGGCUAACUUCGUG